CACAGAGCCUGGGUUAAUCAGCACGGCCCUUAAAACUUCUAUGAAAUUAUGUCCUUGACCCCAAACCGCUCAGGCAUCUCUGAAGUCUGUACUGUGUUAUGCUUGGGGACAAGCAUCUUUAGUGUGAACAGCCCGUUUUUCCCAGAAAGGCCUUCCCCCACACCUUUUGCUUGAAGCAUAUGAACAGCACGUCUCUAAGAAUCCAUCUACUAACCUCUUCUCCUUCUACCACCAGUGUCCAGGUAGGCACCAUUCAGGGUGUGGUCCACAGUGGUGGCACCAGCACUUUGGGAAGGUGGCCCCCACCCCCACACACCUGCUGCAUCACAGUCCUGGGGCCUGGAGCCCAGCCUCGGCUCAGGGACUGGGUGUUAACACGACCAACCCCUGUUGGCUGCCCCACAUCCUCUCCCGCUUCCAUUCCAACCUCAUCUCUUCUGCUUGUUCCAUACAGAAUGGUCUUUUCCAAACACGUGCCUAUAUCGUGGGAACCCCUCCACUCCCUGCCUUAAAACUGCUCAGGGAGUUGGCCUCACCCUACCAGCACUGGCCCCCCGAGUGGCGUGCCCCCCACCCCAAACACCUCUCCAUUUGUGCCCUUCCUCCCUCCAGGACCCCUGCCCCAAGACCUCUUUCCAGACCCUCACACCCUCCAAGCUUCCUCCUGCCCCAGGGCGUUUGUGCAGCUCAGCCCUGUCUGAAAGCCCCCAGUAUACUCCCCCGAUUGGCGACUACCUGUCCUCUAGAUUUCAGCCAGCAUUGACUCCCCAACCCGGAAGGCCAGGUAAGACAGCUGAUGUUCAGAGCAAGCUGAAUUCUGCCCCUGCAGAACACUCAUCCCAUUUUGUCAUGAUGCCUUCACGGGUGGGAAUCUUUGCUGAAUAUAAUCCUCCCUGCUGGCUGGAUGCUUCCUGUGGGCAGGGACCCUCAGCUUCAUUCACUGUUGUGCCCUCAGCUGAGUUCUGUGUCUGGCAUGGAGUAGUGACUCAAUAAUGAAUUUGUUCACAGUCUGUGCUCUGAGUGUCCUUCGAGGUCAAAUGGCUCUCUCUUGCUCAUUGGAGCUUUGGGUCUUUGUUUCCUUCCAGUGACACUAUAGUGACAGCAGCAAGCACUUAAUAGAAGCCGGGGCAUGCGCUGCCCUGAGCCCUGUGCAUCAUCAGUUACCUCCAAGUGGCAGGUCGUGUAGCCACCUGUCAGGUACCACCCUGACCUACUACUCUGCUGCUGAGAAGCCAAAGGGGACAAAGCUGGAACCCGCCUUCACUGUUGGUGGGAAUGUAAAUUGGUGACGCCACUAUGGAAAACAGUGUGGAGGUUCCUCAGUAAAUCUAAAAAUAGAGUUUCUAUAUGAUUCAGCAAUCCCACUCCUGGCAUCUAUCUAGAUGGAAAGAUAACAUGCACCCCGGUGUUCACGGAAGCACUGUUUACCAGAGCCAAGACAUGGAAGCAGCGUAAAUGGCCAUCAGCAAGUGAAAAAGAUAUGGUGCGUAUAUACAGUGGGAUAUCACUCAGCCAAGAAGGAAACAACGCCAUCUGCAGCCACAUGGACGGAUCUGGAGGUGAUCACACUAAGCGAAGUCAGACAGGGGCAAAUGUCGUAUGCUGGCACUGGAGGACAAGGCUGGACAUGAAGGUCCCCGGGGCUUGCUCCCAGGUACCCAGCAAAGCCCGCUCCAUUCUCUCUGGCCUCUGAAACCUGGCACACCAGGUUGUGAAUAUUCUUAAGUCCACAGUUAUGGUGACUGCUGAAGUGACCGGAGCAGAUUCUUCUUCGCCUGAAUUCAGCCAGGUUUAUGUAUGUACAGAAUUUACAGGAUAGGCAUGUUUCCAUUGGGAAAUACUUCCCCUGUGUGAUACUGCAAAACAAGGUAUAUAAAGCUGCGCCGCAGGAACUCAAAACUGAACGUACUUAAGGAAACCAACCUGAGCCAUACAAGUGAGUAAAAACUGGAAACUACAUGAUACUAAAAAUAGUGAUUUCUGCUCUGGGUUUAAUAUGUAAACUCGGAAAAGAAGGUUUCUGCUGAAUGCCUUAUGAAAAACUUUGAAGGCAAGAUAAAUGCUCAAGUUCUAAGACAUAGAACUCAAAUUUCAGUUUAGUUAGAAAUCUUCUCACUGAUACAUAACAUAUAGUUGGACAAAUCAAUCUUUUAGUAUUAUUUAACUGACAGAGUUAUUCUUUGAGGGAAUUAAAAGCAACUGUCUUUCUCUUGCAAAUAUCUACAAACCAGAAUGUAUUACUAAGUACAGGCCACAAAGACCUGAGUCUGAGCAUAAUUAGCUCAAUCGGUUAAGACCUGAAACCAAGGGGGAAAAAAAAAAUAUGACAAAGUGGCAGCUUUAAAGUUCAAACCACUGGGAAUGCUCCCUCAGCCAGACUUCACAAAUAGUAAAGCUUUAGUCAUCUGAGCAAGCAGUUCUAAUGUAUUCCAACUGUUCUUUAUAAAUUAGUAAGUUUAUAUUGUAAUACCAGACUCAUAAUUUUUUUAAAGUGAAUCUGUUGCAGGAUGGGGGACCCCUUCUGAGGCCCAAAACUGGGCUCUUGUCUAACACUCGGAAAUGAAUUGUCCAAGGAGACGCGUGCUGACAAAGCAAGAGAUUUUAUUGGGAAAGGGCACCUGGGCGGAGAGCAGUAGGGUAAGGGCUCGCAGUCUCGGGCUUCAUGGUGAUGGGAUUAGUUUCUGGGUUGUCUUUAGCCAGUCAUUCUGACUCAGAGCCUUUCCUGGUGGUGCACGGCUUGUUCAGCCAAGAUGGAUGCCAGAGAGGAGGAUUCUGGGAGGUGGUCAGACAUGUGGGGUCUCCUUUUGACCUUUCCCGAACUCUUCUGGUUGGUGGUGGCUUAUCAGUUCCAUGUUGCUUACCAGGCCCUCCUGUCGUAGAACAACUCAUGCAGAUGGUUACAGGGAUGCCUGACCAGGGUGGGCGGUUUCAGUCAGCGUGCUUCUCCUAACAAAUCCAUGAGAUGUCUAGUUUUGCCUGUUUAUGUCUGUGAACACAUUAUACAUAUGAGAUAUCCUACCUGUGGAUAAUAUUAUCAAAAUUAAAUUUUUAAAGAAUGCUUACAAAUUAAAGAAACUGGCCAUAAUGACCUUCAGGUUCAUGUGAACUAGGAAGUAUUCCAUGUUAAGUUGAAACCUGGUAUUAAAAUUUAGGUUUAUUGAUCUUAGAUAAUAUAGACAUUUCUUUAGAGUCAUCAAUAUUAAGUAUAAUAAUGUGUUAUACUUAGGUUUGAAAAGUGUUAGUUGCUCAGUUGUGUCUGUCUCUGUGAUCCAAUGGAUUGUAGCCUGCCAGGCUCCUCUGUCCAUGGAAUUGAAUUCUGUAGGCAAGAAUACUGGAGUGGGUUGCCAUUCCCUUCUCCAAGGGAUGUUCCUGACCCAGGGAUCAAACCCACGUCUCCUAUGUUAUUAGCAGGUGGUUUCUUUACCAUCUGAGCCACCAGGAAGCCUAGGUUUAACAGAUGUUAAAUAAAAUCCUGUUCUAUCUAUUGCAAGGAAAAUAACUUGAUACUAUGAGACUUGAUGAGCUUUUGGGUAAACUCUUUAAAAAUAUUUUAGAAAUGCCUACUUAAAACGAUCUUUACAGAUAUUGGUAACUUACAGUACUAAAGCUGUGCUAAUUUAAGUGAUGGAAGUUUAUUGACUAGCUAGCUAAUUUCCAAAAAGAAAUAAGCUACUGAGACAGAAGUUGCUAAAUAGAAAAACUAAAGGUAUUUAGAACUAUUAGUGAAAAUAUUUGGUGCUACCUGAAAUGCUCUCUGUUAGAAAACGUUUUUAGAAAGUAUUACGGAUAUUUAUGUUCACUAGUAUACAAAAUACUAAUGUAAAAGUUCAUAUUGCUUACUUCUUAGCUUUUACUAGAAAUUAGGGUUUUUAAGAGUUGAGGAUUCUAGUUGUGGUUCAUAUACACAGAGGAAUAUUACUCAGCUAUAAAAAAGAAUGCAUUUGAGUCAGUUCUAAUGAGGUGGAAGGACCUAGAGCCUGCUAUUACACAGAGUGAAAUAAAUCAGACAGAUAUAUGUUAAUUAACACCUAUAUAUGGAAGCCAGAAAGGUGGUACUGAUGAACCUGUCUACAGGGCAGCAGUGGCGAUGCAGACACAGAACAGACUUUGGGGUGCAGUGGAGAGACAAGGUAGGACAAUUUGAGAAAGCAGCAUUGAAACAUAUACGUGACCAAAUAUAAAGUGGACAGCCAGUGUGAGUUUGCUAUAUGACACGGGAACUCAAGGCCAGGGCUCUGCGACAACCUCG
ensembl:lncRNA